UGCUUGGCUCAUGUUUUAUUAGGAAGAAGGAUUAGGUGAGGGAGGGUCAUAACAACAAUAGGCCAUAGAUCUGCACUGAUCUCCAUCUAAACCAGAGAUAUACAUCUCAAAUAGAGCGUAAAGGCAUUGAUCUAAAUACGGAAUACCGGGAUUACUGUACUGGUUCAUGCUGUUUAAUGAGAACGCUUAUGUGAACACCUAAAUACACGAGGUUAAAGGUCAGACUUGGAGAUUUCAGCGUUCCAGCACUCCAUGUCUUCACAUCAGUCUUCAUUAACCGUCUGGAUCUCCUCAGUCUAUAUGCAAUGUCCACCUCUCUCACUCCCAACAAACAACAUAUGCUCUGUGAGCUGGCUACUGUUAGCCAUCAUAAUAGCAGAGCUGGGUGGAGGAGGGAUGAUGGAGGAGGGCUCUUUCAUUUCAUUUGCCUCGAUGUAGGAAGUAGCAUUCAAAAGUAAAUACUGAUGACAAAAGACUAAAUAAAAAAAGACUGAGUGCU